rnacentral:rRNA from 1 species
AGAGUUUGAUCCUGGCUCAGGAUGAACGUUGGCGGCGUGCCUAACACAUGCAAGUCGAACGGAGAUAGCAAUGAGUGGCGCACGGGUGUGUAACACGUAGCUUAUCUGCCUCAAAGAGAGGGAUAACGUCUCGAAAGAGACGCUAAUACCGCAUAAGCUCCCGACCUAUAGAGGGUUGAGAGAAAAGGAGCAAUCCGCUUUGAGAUGAGGCUGCGGCCCAUCAGCUAGUUGGGGUGGUAAAAGCACACCAAGGCACGACGGGUAGGGGACCUGAGAGGGUGACCCCCCACACUGGGACUGAGACACGGCCCAGACUCCUACGGGAGGCAGCAGUGAGGAAUAUUGCACAAUGGGCGAAAGCCUGAUGCAGCGACGCCGCGUGGGUGAAGAAGGUUUUCGGAUCGUAAACCCUUUUCUGUGUGACGAGAGAGACGUAGCACAGAAUAAGUCUCGGCUAACUACGUGCCAGCAGCCGCGGUAAAAC